AGCCACGCAAUGCACACAUAGCAAACUAUCUUUCACCUUUUACUAAAGAAUACCAUGUACGCAUUGCAAACAGUGGCAUAUGCCAAUGUUUAGAGGGGUCUUUCUUUUCGAACGAU